GCAGUGUGCUCACAUCAGGGGGCCAGAGGAAUGGCUCCCCUGUUUAUAAAACUCCCUACAGGAAUCUGGGGUCAUUGUGAUGAGGGGAGCAAAACUUGUGGCCUCCCUAAGAACAUAUGGGUGAUCAAU